rnacentral:rRNA from 1 species
ACAAUGGAGAGUUUGAUCCUGGCUCAGGAUGAACGCUAGCGGCAGGCCUAAUACAUGCAAGUCGAACGGGAUUGGGGAGCUUGCUCCCCAUGAGAGUGGCGUACGGGUGCGUAACGCGUAUGCAACCUACCUUCAUCAGGGGGAUAGCCCGAAGAAAUUCGGAUUAACACCGCAUAAAAACACAGGAUAGCAUUAUCCAAUGUUCAAAUAUUUAUAGGAUGAAGAUGGGCAUGCGUGUCAUUAGCUAGUUGGUAAGGUAACGGCUUACCAAGGCGACGAUGACUAGGGGAUCUGAGAGGAUGACCCCCCACACUGGUACUGAGACACGGACCAGACUCCUACGGGAGGCAGCAGUAAGGAAUAUUGGUCAAUGGAGGCAACUCUGAACCAGC